AGAAUGAACGUUGGCGGCGUGGAUUAGGCAUGCAAGUCGAACGGGCCGCAAGGCCAGUGGCGGAAGGGUGAGUAAGGCGACGGUAACCAACCCCGAGGGUGGGCAUAGCCGGGGGAAACUCCGGGUAAUUCCCAGCGAUAUGACGAUCCGGCAUCGGGUGGUCAUCAAAGAUUUAUCGCCUCGGGACGGGCCGUUGUGGUAUUAGCUUGUUGGCGGGGUGACGGCCCACCAAGGCUACGAUGCCUACCGGGCGUGCGAGCGUGGCCCGGCACACUGGGACUGAGACACUGCCCAGACUCCUACGGGAGGCUGCAGUCGAGAAUCUUCGGCAAUGGGCGCAAGCCUGACCGAGCGACGCCGCGUGGAGGAUGAAGGCCUUCGGGUUGUAAACUCCUGUCGAGGGGGAGGAAGGGGCAACCUUGACCGAUCCCUGGAGGAAGCACGGGCUAAGUUCGCGCCAGCAGCCGC
rnacentral:rRNA from 1 species